CCAAGUCGCGUGAGGGAUGAAGGUUCUAUGGAUCGUAAACCUCUUUUAUAAGGGAAUAAAGUGCGGGACGUGUCCCGUUUUGUAUGUACCUUAUGAAUAAGGAUCGGCUAACUCCGUGCCAGCAGCCGCGGUAAUACGGAGGAUCCGAGCGUUAUCCGGAUUUAUUGGGUUUAAAGGGUGCGUAGGCGGCCUUUUAAGUCAGCGGUGAAAGUCUGUGGCUCAACCAUAGAAUUGCCGUUGAAACUGGGGGGCUUGAGUAUGUUUGAGGCAGGCGGAAUGCGUGGUGUAGCGGUGAAAUGCAUAGAUAUCACGCAGAACCCCGAUUGCGAAGGCAGCCUGCCAAGCCAUUACUGACGCUGAUGCACGAAAGCGUGGGGAUCAAACAGGAUUAGAUACCCUGGUAGUCCACGCAGUAAACGA
rnacentral:rRNA from 1 species